CUGGGAUCGGUUUGGGAAAAUCCUGUGAAAUUCUAAAAAGCUUCUCUCCGUGUUUUCUAGUUGUUUUUUCAGCCUUGGUCUAAGUUUCAUGUAGAAAAGGGCACAGAAUUAGAACAGGUAAACUAGACUUUCUCGGGAGAGAUGGAAGAAAAGUCUACUGAUUCCGGUUCUGCUUUUCUUGUCUUCUAUUAGACUGUCAUUUUCUCUCCCCUGCUGUUCAAAUAGGCAGCAAUUAAUUGCUCUGCUGGAGAGUUUGCUGUACUAAGUGUCUGUCAAAUCGAUGCCUUCAACUCAAGAUAGCACCUGCUCCUUAGUUACAAAACGUUCCUCACAGGAAAUUUUCAGGCGUGCCCAUAAAUCUCAUCCCUGUUUGUAUGGGAGAACAGGGUUUUCUCGUCUGUAACAGAAUAGUCAUGGCAUUUGCUAUUGAAUGCUGGUGGCAAUCUAGUCAGAAGAGGACCCCGUGCUUCACUAAUUUUCCCUUUUUGUUGUUCGCAGUGACUUCUUCCCAGGGAUGUUAUUCUUGACCCCCCGGGGCAAACGGAGGUGUUCACCUGGUCAGCGUCAGGAGCCAUCGUACCUGAGGCCCUGGCUCCCUCUUUCCCUUCGGUUGCCGUGGAUGUGCCGGACGGCUCUGGCAGGACUAACCCUGUGGCUUUUAUGUCCCACGUGCUGUGUGCGUGCAGGUAAGAAAAGCUGGGAGUGCAGUCCCUCUGCUUUGCUUGCUGUGUCUCAACAGGUUUUCCAGCCAAGAAGAACAAGGAGAGAGAUGAGGGAAUCGGGUUCCAAUUCCUAAUGAUUUGGUGGGUGCAGGAAUGAUUUCUGUGUGUUUUCCAGUCCCUUUUGAUUCCUGAGAUGAUUUUAAAAUGAUGGCUUUAGCAAUCAACUAAAUCGGAGCUGUUGUUUUUGAGAGGAAAUGAUGCCAAAUAAAUGCAGAGUUUUGGGUCAGUUUUUGGGAUGAUUUGGGUCAGUUUUUGGGGUCAGUUUGGGGUCAUUGUUUGGGGUGAUUUGGGUCAGUUUUGGGUCAGCUUUUGGGAUGAUUGGGGUCAGUUUUGGGUCAGCUUUUGGGAUGAUUGGGGUCAGGUUUUGGGGUCAGUUUUGGGUCAGCUUUUGGGGUGAUUUGGGUCUGUUUUGGGUCAAUUUUUGGGGAGCACUGGGUGUUACUGGGGGUUGUUUGGGAGCACUGGGUGUUUACUGGGGAGCACUGGGUGUUACUGGGGGUUGUUGAGGAGCACUGGGUGUUACUGGGGAGCACUGGGAGAGAAAAUGAAAAAUAAAGAGAAUAAAAAAUAAACGAAAUAAAAAAGGAAAUAUAAAAAUCAAAAGAAAAUUAAAAA